rnacentral:tRNA from 1 species
GUGGCGGGUGGCUGAGUGGUUGAAAGCGCAACCAAAACACCCUUGGUUUGCACCUUACCCGGAAGGGACGAAAAAUUAAGGUUAUCGGUAGUAUUGAGGAAACUCAAUCGCAGGUUCAAAUCCUGCUCCGCCACACCA